UCAGCCGCCCCAAAAUCCACCAGCGUCCAUGGCUUCUCAGGCAAUGGACAACCUAUAUUCUCUCCCCUUUCAAACCAUGUCAUGAUUAUUCGAGCUUUCAAGGCUCAAUCUUCAACAAACCUGUUCAGGUCCUCUGCCGACCUGAGCUCCUUUGGCUUCUCUAGCUCGAUUCCACUGUGUUCGAGCUCUGGAAAACUUACCCAUGGUCCAGAUUCGUUCAGUGACCAGACCAUUCCGAGCCUUCUCGUCUCUAUGGUUUCGGAGAAACCCUAAAAAGCUUGAUUCGAGGUUUUUCUUUCCUUAUUUUCUUAGAUCUAUAGCAAAUCUGUGCUCUAUCCUACCUUCUAACAAUUUUCCCUAGCUUUCCCUUUUAAAAUUAGUCUGUUCAAAUUAGGGUUUUCAAAAUGCUAAAAUGAUUCUUCUUCUUCUUUUUCUUUCUUUAUUUGAAUCUGUGUGUUCAUGCCUUGUUCGAGGUGUUUUCGUUUGUUUCUUAUGAUUUGUCAUUAAUAUGCAUAUCUCUCUACCUUUGUUUUAUUACUGCUUCUACUGAUUUUCUAUAAACAUGUUUAUACGCCUAUCUUGCCUACUAAAAUGGUUUACUUUAACUAAAUCUAUUUGGGUUAUCAAACUUGUUUCUUUCACUGUUUCUUAAACUCCGAACUGGUUUGAGUUUUAUUUUUCCUGAAACGUUUUAUUUAAAAACGUUCACUCUAAUGCUUUUGAUUUCUACGUGUGUCUGUAUAUUCCCUCAGGGAACUCUUUAGAGUUCCCCAGGGUUGUUGAGUUUUCCUUUCUUUUUGUGUGUCCU
rnacentral:lncRNA from 1 species